rnacentral:rRNA from 1 species
GACGAACGCUGGCGGCGUGCUUAACACAUGCAAGUCGAACGGUAAGGCCCCUUCGGGGGUACACGAGUGGCGAACGGGUGAGUAACACGUGAGCAACCUGCCCUUGACUCCGGGAUAACAGUUGGAAACAGCUGCUAAUACCGGAUAUGACCUUCGAUGACAUCAUCUGGAGGUGGAAAGCGCUUUAGCGGUCAAGGAUGGGCUCGCGGCCUAUCAGCUUGUUGGUGAGGUAACGGCUCACCAAGGCUUCGACGGGUAGCCGGCCUGAGAGGGCGACCGGCCACACUGGGACUGAGAUACGGCCCAGACUCCUACGGGUGGCUG